rnacentral:rRNA from 1 species
UAACUGCCUGUAAGACUGGGAUAACUCCGGGAAACCGGGAGCUAAUACCGGAUAGUUCCUUGAACCGCAUGGUUCAAGGAUGAAAGACGGUUUCGGCUGUCACUUACAGAUGGACCCGCGGCGCAUUAGCUAGUUGGUGGGGUAAUGGCUCACCAAGGCGACGAUGCGUAGCCGACCUGAGAGGGUGAUCGGCCACACUGGGACUGAGACACGGCCCAGACUCCUACGGGAGGCAGCAGUAGGGAAUCUUCCGCAAUGGACGAAAGUCUGACGGAGCAACGCCGCGUGAGUGAUGAAGGUUUUCGGAUCGUAAAGCUCUGUUGUUAGGGAAGAACAAGUGCGAGAGUAACUGCUCGCACCUUGACGGUACCUAACCAGAAAGCCACGGCUAACUACGUGCCAGCAGCCGCGGUAAUACGUAGGUGGCAAGCGUUGUCCGGAAUUAUUGGGCGUAAAGGGCUCGCAGGCGGUUUCUUAAGUCUGAUGUGAAAGCCCCCGGCUCAACCGGGGAGGGUCAUUGGAAACUGGGAAACUUGAGUGCAGAAGAGGAGAGUGGAAUUCCACGUGUAGCGGUGAAAUGCGUAGAGAUGUGGAGGAACACCAGUGGCGAAGGCGACUCUCUGGUCUGUAACUGACGCUGAGGAGCGAAAGCGUGGGGAGCGAACAGGAUUAGAUACCCUGGUAGUCCACGCCGUAAACGAUGAGUGCUAAGUGUUAGGGGGUUUCCGCCCCUUAGUGCUGCAGCUAACGCAUUAAGCACUCCGCCUGGGGAGUACGGUCGCAAGACUGAAACUCAAAGGAAUUGACGGGGGCCCGCACAAGCGGUGGAGCAUGUGGUUUAAUUCGAAGCAACGCGAAGAACCUUACCAGGUCUUGACAUCCUCUGACAACCCUAGAGAUAGGGCUUUCCCUUCGGGGACAGAGUGACAGGUGGUGCAUGGUUGUCGUCAGCUCGUGUCGUGAGAUGUUGGGUUAAGUCCCGCAACGAGCGCAACCCUUGAUCUUAGUUGCCAGCAUUCAGUUGGGCACUCUAAGGUGACUGCCGGUGACAAACCGGAGGAAGGUGGGGAUGACGUCAAAUCAUCAUGCCCCUUAUGACCUGGGCUACACACGUGCUACAAUGGACAGAACAAAGGGCUGCAAGACCGCAAGGUUUAGCCAAUCCCAUAAAUCUGUUCUCAGUUCGGAUCGCAGUCUGCAACUCGACUGCGUGAAGCUGGAAUCGCUAGUAAUCGCGGAUCAGCAUGCCGCGGUGAAUACGUUCCCGGGCCUUGUACACACCGCCCGUCACACCACGAGAGUUUGCAACACCCGAAGUCGGUGAGGUAACCUUUAUGGAGCCAGCCGCCGAAAGUGCGGGCAGAUGAUUGGGGUGAAGUCGUAAC